GAACAACUCCCUUCUUCACAAUCAUCUCAAUGGGCUCCUUUGGACCAUCAGUCAGGCACAAAGAAAUCUCUCAUUUGUGGCGUGCAGAUAAGAUUCUGUGAAGAAAUCACUUUUAUUUUUAAUUUUGACUAUGAAAACUGGUACAACACAAGCCCUGUCCUGUCCUGAUGGACUCUGAUCCCUAUGCACCCGUAAGAGAAAAUCAACUCUGUCAUCUGGAAGUUUUGGUCUAGGAGCAUGGGUGCUUUGGCAAGAAGUCAUAUCCAAAGACCUGCUAGGUCUACAUGAUAUGAGCUGGAAUGCAGACACACCCUGGAUCCCAGUAUGAUCCCACUAGAAUUCAGGUACCUCCUUAAUGCACACCUUGAAUCCCAAACAAUGCUGUCUAAUUGAGGGGGAAAACGAGAAAUUGAAGAAAGAUUUGCUAGGAUUAGCAACUUGAUAUUAAAAGUGUUCAUGUGUUUUAUCAUAGUAAGAACAGAUUGUGUUAAAAGAUAAGUGAGCCCAUAUCACAUAUAGCAGAGAGCACAACAGUUUGAUAUUCAAUAUCUGCCUAGUGAAUAUAAGAGCAAAAUAUGAAUAAUAAGGAUAUUGUCAAGAGCAGUAUAGACAAGUUGCAAGCACUAUGCAAUUGAAUCUUGCUAGGGAAAAUUUGAU
rnacentral:lncRNA from 1 species